GCUCAGGACGAACGCUGGCGGCGUGCCUAAUACAUGCAAGUAGAACGCUGAAGAGAGGAGCUUGCUCUUCUUGGAUGAGUUGCGAACGGGUGAGUAACGCGUAGGUAACCUGCCUUGUAGCGGGGGAUAACUAUUGGAAACGAUAGCUAAUACCGCAUAACAAUGGAUGACCCAUGUCAUUUAUUUGAAAGGGGUAAAUGCUCCACUACAAGAUGGACCUGCGUUGUAUUAGCUAGUAGGUGAGGUAACGGCUCACCUAGGCGACGAUACAUAGCCGACCUGAGAGGGUGAUCGGCCACACUGGGACUGAGACACGGCCCAGACUCCUACGGGAGGCAGCAGUAGGGAAUCUUCGGCAAUGGGGGCAACCCUGACCGAGCAACGCCGCGUGAGUGAAGAAGGUUUUCGGAUCGUAAAGCUCUGUUGUAAGUCAAGAACGAGUGUGAGAGUGGAAAGUUCACACUGUGACGGUAGCUUACCAGAAAGGGACGGCUAACUACGUGCCAGCAGCCGCGGUAAUACGUAGGUCCCGAGCGUUGUCCGGAUUUAUUGGGCGUAAAGCGAGCGCAGGCGGUUUGAUAAGUCUGAAGUUAAAGGCUGUGGCUCAACCAUAGUUCGCUUUGGAAACUGUCAAACUUGAGUGCAGAAGGGGAGAGUGGAAUUCCAUGUGUAGCGGUGAAAUGCGUAGAUAUAUGGAGGAACACCGGUGGCGAAAGCGGCUCUCUGGUCUGUAACUGACGCUGAGGCUCGAAAGCGUGGGGAGCGAACAGGAUUAGAUACCCUGGUAGUCCACGCCGUAAACGAUGAGUGCUAGGUGUUGGAUCCUUUCCGGGAUUCAGUGCCGCAGCUAACGCAUUAAGCACUCCGCCUGGGGAGUACGACCGCAAGGUUGAAACUCAAAGGAAUUGACGGGGGCCCGCACAAGCGGUGGAGCAUGUGGUUUAAUUCGAAGCAACGCGAAGAACCUUACCAGGUCUUGACAUCCCGAUGCUAUUUCUAGAGAUAGAAAGUUACUUCGGUACAUCGGUGACAGGUGGUGCAUGGUUGUCGUCAGCUCGUGUCGUGAGAUGUUGGGUUAAGUCCCGCAACGAGCGCAACCCCUAUUGUUAGUUGCCAUCAUUCAGUUGGGCACUCUAGCGAGACUGCCGGUAAUAAACCGGAGGAAGGUGGGGAUGACGUCAAAUCAUCAUGCCCCUUAUGACCUGGGCUACACACGUGCUACAAUGGUUGGUACAACGAGUUGCGAGUCGGUGACGGCAAGCUAAUCUCUUAAAGCCAAUCUCAGUUCGGAUUGUAGGCUGCAACUCGCCUACAUGAAGUCGGAAUCGCUAGUAAUCGCGGAUCAGCACGCCGCGGUGAAUACGUUCCCGGGCCUUGUACACACCGCCCGUCACACCACGAGAGUUUGUAACACCCGAAGUAAAUGAGGUAACCUUUUGGAGCCAGCCGCCUAA
rnacentral:rRNA from 1 species